rnacentral:rRNA from 1 species
CAUGCAGUCGAACGGUAGUUGUCCUUCGGGGCGAUGAGAGUGGCGAACGGGUGAGNACCGUAACUGAUCUGCCCUGUAGACUGGGAUAACCUUUGGAAACAGAGGCUAAUACCGGAUAAUCUCAUGUUAGUUAGAGAGGCAUGAGGAAAUGCUAAGGUGCUAUGGGAUGAGGUUGCGGGCCAUCAGCUAGUUGGUGAGGUAAGAGCUUACCAAGGCGAUGACGGAUAGGGGACCUGAGAGGGUGGCCCCCCACACUGGGACUGAGACACGGCCCAGACUCCUACGGGAGGCAGCAGUAAGGGAUAUUGCACAAUGGACGGAAGUCUGAUGCAGCGACGCCGCGUGGGUGAAGAAGGUUUUCGGAUCGUAAAGCCCUUUUCUAUGUGACGAGAGAGGACGGUAGCAUAGGAAUAAGUGUCGGCUAACUACGUGCCAGCAGCCGCGGUAAAACGUAGGACGCGAACGUUAUCCGGAGUUACUGGGCGUAAAGCGCGUGCAGGCGGUUUGUUAAGUUACCUAUGAAAGUUACUGGCUAAACUGGUAAUGGUUAGGUGAAACUGGCAGACUAGAGAGAAAUAGAGGGAAGUAGAAUUCCGGGUGUAGUGGUGAAAUGCGUAGAUAUCCGGAGGAAUACCGGUGGCGAAGGCGGCUUCCUGGAUUUCCACUGACGCUGAGGCGCGAAAGCGUGGGUAGCGAACGGGAUUAGAAACCCCGGUAGUCCACGCCGUAAACGAUGUACAUUAGGCGUUCGGUUACGCAAGUCAUUCGAGUGUCGCAUCAAACGCGAUAAUGUGCCGCCUGGGGAGUACGGUCGCAAGGCUAAAACUCAAGGAAUUGACGGGGCCCGCACAAGCAGCGGAGCGUGUG